rnacentral:rRNA from 1 species
CGGAAGGUCAUUACUGAGUGAGGGCCCUCUGGGUCCAACCUCCCACCCGUGUUUAUUGUACCUUGUUGCUUCGGUGCGCCCGCCUCACGGCCGCCGGGGGGCUUCUGCCCCCGGGUCCGCGCGCACCGGAGACACUAUUGAACUCUGUCUGAAGAUUGCAGUCUGAGCAUAAACUAAAUAAGUUAAAACUUUCAACAACGGAUCUCUUGGUUCCGGCAUCGAUGAAGAACGCAGCGAAAUGCGAUAACUAAUGUGAAUUGCAGAAUUCAGUGAAUCAUCGAGUCUUUGAACGCACAUUGCGCCCCCUGGUAUUCCGGGGGGCAUGCCUGUCCGAGCGUCAUUGCUGCCCUCAAGCACGGCUUGUGUGUUGGGCUCCGUCCCCCCGGGGACGGGUCCGAAAGGCAGCGGCGGCACCGAGUCCGGUCCUCGAGCGUAUGGGGCUUUGUCACCCGCUCUGUAGGCCCGGCCGGCGCCAGCCGACAACCAAUCAUCCUUUUUUCAGGUUGACCUCGGAUCAGGUAGGGAUACCCGCUGAACUUAAGCAUAUCAAUAAGCGGAGGAAAAGAAACCAACAGGGAUUACCUCAGUAACGGCGAGUGAAGCGGUAAGAGCUCAAAUUUGAAAGCUGGCUCCUUCGGGGUCCGCAUUGUAAUUUGCAGAGGAUGUUUCGGGAGCAGCCCCCAUCUAAGUGUCCUGGAACGGACCGUCAUAGAGGGUGAGAAUCCCGUAUGGGAUGGGGUGUCUGCGCCCAUGUGAACUCCUUCGAC